CUUUUUUGACAUUUGUGUUUAUCACUGAUACCCUCUUAUGCCAAGGGACACAGAUGACUAUUAACUGGGAAGGGUGGGUCCCUGCCACUCAGUCACCCACUGAGAAGAGCAGGCACUGAUCCAGUUGCAAGAGCUGAAGUCAAAAGGAAGAGUAUGACUGGAAGGGAUUGACAGGCAAAGUCCCAGCACACACGUGGAGGUAGGGGUGAGUGGAAGUAUCCUGAUGGAAGGCAGAACAUAGACUUAAGGAAUUCAAAACUCCAAGCACGCAGUUGACAUCAGAGAAUUUCAGAUAUGAGUGGGAAUGCUUUUCCUUUAUUUGUUCUCCCUUAUUUAUUUAUUUAUUUUUGCCGUUUCACAUGAACCACAGUUUUAUAGUCCCUUAAAAUCCUGCUUUGCAAGACUGUUUCUUCUUUUCCAUUUUCAAUACCUUUUAGAGUGUCUUUUGUUAGGUUAUGAAGCAUAUUUUAAGAGAGUUUUUUUACCACAUGUUUGUAGGAAAAAGAAAGAACAUAAAGUUUAUAUGAAAGCAAAUCCACCACCUCGCACUCAUUAGGAGGCUAUUAUUAAAAAAACCAGA